UGCAGGUGAGGAGCCCGGGGGCUCGAAGCUGGAUCCUUACGCCAGUCCUUUUAGCCCUGCUUCACUGCUGGUGACGUUUCUCCGCAGGUGGCACUAGGGGCUUGAACCCAGGUUCUUAUGACAGAAUGUUGCAAACUAGCUCUGGAAGGCCAGCGGGACCACCAGGCAGAGCUGCCUGGCCUCACCCUUCUCCCAGGCAGCGAAGACAGACCCUCCGGCCCAGCGUUGACAGAACCCUUCAUAACCCAAGGACCAGGAAUGUGACACCUCCCUUCAGUAGUUUACUUUGCGUUCACCAAGCACACUGCAGGAGCACUUCUGCUUCCAUUCCUUCCUGCAAGGCCGCACUCAGACUUCUCAACCACAGUCUAAGUCACCACCCAAGCCGUUCCCGGAGCAGAGGACAUCUGGGGACAGGUGACUUGAGAACACAACUGUUCAGGUUAUCCCACUCUACCCUUUAUGUCUUCAUGGCAUCAAAAUGACCUGGGGCAUUAGCGUGCAAACCUGUCUCCCACACUCAGAAUUCACUGUGUGACCUUGGCUAAGUUACUUUACGGGAGUCUCUGAGAUUCAGCCUCUCUGUCUGCAAGCAGAUAGCUGCUGGGCUUCUGUAAGAACUAGGUUCCAUAAGGUGUAAGAUCUGAUCAUGUCUGAGAUGCAGCCUCCUUAUCUGCAAGCAGAUAGUUGCUGGGCUUCUGUAAGAACUAAGUUCCAUAAGGUGUGUAAAGUGGCUAGCAGAGUGUCUGAUAAACGCAGGCACUAAAAAAAGAAUGGUUCCCAUCACUCCCUCCACCCCUAGCUUGUGUUCAGCCAAGGU